ACCUCGGAUCAGGUAGGGAUACCCGCUGAACUUAAGC
rnacentral:rRNA from 2 species